rnacentral:lncRNA from 1 species
AUCAAGAGACUCCAUUCCUGUAGCCUUUGCACAAUCCUUGGGUAGGCAGGUACCAUUAAUAUUUUUUUGAUUCUUAAAUUACAGCAUAUGACCUGGCAGAAUAGUUAAAGUUAACCCUGUUCUGGAAAGUCUGAGACAUGAGUAUGGGUCCCCUCAAAAAUUGUCAGCAAAUUAUAUUUCUAUGAAUUGAAUUGUAUUUCAAUGCCUUUGUGAAAUCAGAGCUUUAAAGAUA